ACUUACUGAUGGAGAAAGAAGUAACACCUGAGAAUGAGUGCUGAAGAAAAAACUUCCGUGUACUUUAGCUGUGGCUUCUACAGAGUGACUCUGAGCAACCCUGUGGAAAAAGUGGCCUAUCUUGUAAUAUUCCAUAUUCUCUUUGUGCUCUUUGUGUGGACAUAUUGGAAGUCUAUUUUUACUCUCCCAGUGCAGCCAGGCAAAAAGUAUCAUAUGUCCUAUGCUGACCAAGAACGCUAUGAAAAUGAAGAAAGGCCAGAGGUGCAAAGGCAAAUUCUCGCCGAAAUUGCAAGGAAGUUGCCGGUCUACACCAGAACAGGGAAUGGAGGUAUUCGAUUCUGUGAUAGGUGCCAGCUAAUAAAACCUGAUCGUUGUCACCAUUGUUCCGUUUGUGCUGUAUGCGUGCUAAAAAUGGAUCAUCACUGUCCGUGGGUGAAUAACUGCAUUGGAUUUUCUAACUACAAAUUCUUUCUACUGUUCUUAGCCUAUGCUUUGUUGUAUUGCAUGUAUAUUGCUGCAACAGUCUUCAAGUAUUUCAUUAAGUAUUGGACAGGUGAACUGACUAAUGGACGUUCGAAAUUUCAUGUCCUUUUCCUUCUCUUCGUGGCGGUCAUGUUCUUUGUAAGCCUUAUGUUUCUAUUUGGCUACCAUUGUUGGCUCGUUAGUAGAAACAGAUCUACUUUAGAGGCAUUCUCAGCUCCGGUGUUUCAAAAUGGCCCAGAUAAAAAUGGAUUCAAUCUUGGCUUUGUAAAGAAUCUUCAGCAAGUGUUUGGAGAAGAAAAAAAGCUCUGGUUACUACCUAUUGCCUCUAGCCAGGGUGAUGGACAUUUUUUCCCAAUGAGAGCUUUGUGUGAAGCUCAGAAUCCUCUCCUAGCAAAUGAAGAGCAGUGGGAAGAUGAUGGAAUAGAUGAAGAGCCUCAUGAGAAAAUUCAUUUGGAGAAAAUUUAAGUUCUGUGGCAAAUUGAUAUUUGACACUGCUUGAUGCCGUUCUUGCAUUUUGACCAUCAUGUCUUACAACGAGUUCUGGAUCUUAAAACUGAACAGCACAAGAUCAGUAGUCUGGUGAAGCUUCAUCCCUUGCCAUAGAAAAGGAGACAUAGCAGUUUGAAAAUGCAGCAGUAUAAACCUUGUUCAGAAAGGUCAAGCUUCCCUCUCAGGAGUCAACAUCCCUUCUCUUGGCAUGGACUUGAGUUUUGAGGGACAGAAAACAAGUGGAACUUCAAGAUGAGAAAACAUCAUGAAGUAUCAUCUGAUUGGAACCUGCAUUCUAGAGUGCUUCUCCAGAAAUUCUGCUAUCCAGAUGUUUCAAGGCUUUAUAAGUUUAAGUUAUGGAGUGAACAGAACAGUUUUAUAAAGUGAUUCUGGCCAAUCUUCUUUGGCCUGCUCUCUUUAUUUUAUAAAUAAUAUAUAUUUUUUAUUCAAAAUAGGUAAAAAUAUUGAUGUGAAUGCAUUUCCAAAGGCCUUUUCAUUUUGCAGACAUCAGGGACUCAAGUUCUUGAAAUUCUUCCAAGCCAUAAUAUUCUUUGGAAUGGUAUUUAUUUUGAGACUGAUUCUCCAACCUUCUCUGACAAGUGGCAUUUUCUAAUGCGUUUAAAGUUCUGAGUCAGUUUGACUUAGUGAGAGACAGACCCACUUAAACUUGGCACUAAACUGAUAGCUGGAUGUGUGUUGAAAAAUUGCUGAACAUGCAUACAUACAUGUGCAGCUGUGUAUGAAAUCAAAAUAUUCAUAUUGCCAAUAUCAAGAUUCAAGAAUAAUGUGGCCACAGAUUUAAAAAAAAAAAAAUUUUAGGAGGGUGUAAUUGUGUUAGAGUUUGAGUUAUAGUGCCCUUUAAGCCCAAUCCUACUUGCAGGCACUUAAAAUGCAAAAGGGAACUUGAGACAGUACAGUUUGCAUUAAUUCCUAGGGCUAAAAUAUCAGCUCAUUCUUGGAUCAGUGUUUGAUGGAAAUUUGAGUGUUUAUGGAGUCAGAAGGGAAGACGUAAAUUCGAAACACAUGAGUUGGAAAUGUGCACUGAAAGUUUAGCUCCAACAGCAGUGUUUGGAGUUUACGCUCCACAAUGGUGGUUUAGUCCCAUAAUGCUGAUGAGAAAAUUGAUGUAUUGAAUUUUUUCAAACUUCUUCCUAAGUAAAUGUAUUGACUGGUGGUUUAAAGGUUUUUCAGCACUAAGAGGUGAUCAGAUUUUUUCUUCAUUUUACGCUAUUUGCAGUCAAAGGAAUGUAUCGCUGUUUUUAUUCUGUGGAAUGGAACUGAGAAUUUGCUGGCAGGAUUAUAUGCAUUUUUCUAGACCUGAGUCAUCUUUUAUCUGCAUGAUUCUGACCCGGCAACUCCAUCACUCAUGUUUGAAUUAGGUGCAUGCUUAAAGUAUUAGUAUACUGCCUUUAAGAUCAUUUGUUACCAUUUUCUAUCCCGUUUUUGUGUUUAUCAGCCCAUUUGUGUUGACAGUGACUAUGGAAGCAGUUGUGCAUGUCAUGAGAAAUCAUCUGAUAAGUAUCUCUUUGGUGACAAAGGCCUUGCCUACACUCUAAAUCCUUUUUUCCUGUGUUUAUUUUGCUGCUGCUACCAGUGGAAAUGUGUUCAUGAAACCAAAGAGCCUUGCAGAGAUUUUCUGUCCGUAAGAGCAGACGUCUAACUACCUGGUAUAAACCGUGCCCUGCGGACAGAUAUUUUGUACAUCAACCUCCAGAACUGGGAGUAGAGCAAGCAGCAACCUCUGCAGAAUGUCUUGUUGCUGAAAUUUAGUGGUUAGGAGUCUGGGUGGCCCUCCCAGGCUCAACGCAGGUUACUCUCUCUCCUCCUCAAAGUGGUACUGAACAUGCUGAAUGUUCCUGCUUCUGCCACUUUAACACUUUAACCAUCUGUUGGGUGGUUCUGUCAUCAAGCAGCUAUUGAGUGCUGAAAAUAUUUUUCCUAUCAAUCUAAACCUGUACUUCUAACGUAAAUCUCGUGGUGGACCUUGACCUGUGCUUGAUAAAAGGUGGCAGUAGAAUUAAUUGCCUCAUUUCUGGCAAAAUAUGUUCUGGAGCAGGAGCUUGAGAGGAAGAUGGCAGCUAAACACAAGAGGAAAUGUAUAGCAAUUUAGCACCAACAGAGUGCUAUUCGUGCCUUUUAAAAUUCUAAAUUCCUUGUAUAAACAGGGAGAUGAUUCGGUGACUUUCUGUGUCAGUUGACUGAAGUGUAUUUUUAAGAUAGGAGUAUCAGAGCUUGUCUGAAGCCAUGAGGAUUUACAGGGGCUUUCUGAGCAGGUUCUUGUCUCCCUUCAGGAUUUGGUUCUGUUUACAGCCGUGUCAUUCUGUCAGUGUCCUUUCCCUGCCAAGCAGCAGCAGCACUACAAGAUCUGCAAGGCAGUAUCCCUGGCUACUGGCUAGCUGCAGCACUGUUCAUUAGGUAGUAGAUAAAAUCAGAUUUUGUCUUCUAAUUAUUAUUAAAACAGAUGUCUUUAUGAUAAUGCAGCUAUCCAGCUCAGAUGUAGAAACAGCUUUAAAGGUUUCCAAGUAACUUAGUACCUUUUCUGGGAAUU